UACCCGGUGCUGCCCCGACAGCUCCUCGCACGCGCCGCCCCAUCCUCGUUGAGCUAGCCGCGCGCUGCCCAUCCUCGUCGAGCACCGCCGCCGCCCUAUCCCCGCCGCCUUCCAACUCCUCUCAUGCGCGCUACCCUGACCACUCCCCGCCAUGGGCCGCCCCGUGCACUCCUCGCCUCACGCCUCCCCGUCCCUCCCCAUUCUCUCUGCUUCCCAUGCCAACCAAGAUUGACGCAGAAGGGGGCCUAGGAGAGCGGCCCUCCUCCAGGUUUGCUCGCAGGAGGCCCCUGCGCUCACCUCGAAGCCGCUGGUCGCCUCCGCCAGUCGCCGCCGCCUCUCACCGACAAGGUUCGAUCUAGGGUUUCGCAGCCCACAGUGCCGCUGAAUCCUGAUGUCCCCCAAGGUCCAGCGCCUCCUCCCUCGAGCCCAAUCUUGAAACCCCCCUCGAACCCUUUCUUUUGAUCCAUCUUGCUGGGAAGACGACAUCCACAGGUUGGGUCAACUGCUGGGUAGUCCACUCGCCUUCUGCCCCCAACCCGUGAAGGCCUUUGGUGGAUCUGCACGUUGCUGGCUCAAACAACUUUUGGUGAAGGAAUGAAGAAAAGUAAUGCAGAUAUAUAUGAGAAGAUAGGACCAACGCAUAAGGUUAUUGUAAUCUGUCCUCUGUGAUAUCUUUUUCUUUCCAUGGAGAUGCUAUUUGUUUACUAAAAUGUCUGCUAGGAAUUGGGCAGGAUUUGUUCCAAGAAGCUUGGGUAGUGUUGUUCUCCAUAAAGUAAUUGAGGUCCGAGAGUAAAUUAGUCUUAUAAUUUCUUCAGUAUAUAACCUAACAUAUUGAAAAAGUAUGAGAGGUAGCUCAUUAUCUUCUCCAAGUCAACUUGUAUAUUUUUGUCUAUUUCUAUUACUAGACUACAUCUGUGUAGUUGAGAGGCUGCUUAUCCUGAUGAGUUUGAUGAUGGAUUUUGAGUGCUGAAACAGAGAUUUGCACUCCUGCUGAUGGAUUCUUUUGUAUCCUGCACACUUGCUGUACUUCUGUGUUGUCCUGCACUCCUAUUUAGCUUUGGUGUAGUUGACUUAAUUAGUUUGCUGUAGAGUUCUGUACUUCAGUCUAAGUUUGUGGAGUAUUUGAGUUGAGACAGACUUAUGAUGUCAUUUGUCAUGCUCAUGCAUGCAUGAACUAAUGCUUGCUAAUUUGUUAUCUUGCCUCUUGUGUAUUAUUUCCUAUUUAAUUCUCAACAACUGAUAACAUGUUUGAUUGCUGAAUUCUGUAAUCGUCAUGCAGUUUCCUUCAAGGAGGAAGGAUGCUACAUGGGAGAAGAUCUUUUGGAAAGGAAUGGAAGGAACCUGGGCUCAAGAAUAAGCAUCAAACGAGAUAUCAAGUGACAAACUCUGAGGCUGGAAACCAGUUAGCUGUUCAGAAAUGAUUACUGCAUAUAGUAUACCUCACUGAAAGCAUAUAGUGUACCUUACUGUUUAUUUCACAAUGUCAUUCCUUUUCCAUAUGUAGUGCAGAACUCUCUUGGCAAAUGUUAUCUUGACUCUUGGCAUGUAUGGAUGAUAUGCUGUAUAUAUGUUGUAUGGAUCACUCGUUGAAUUGAAUGUUUGUUUAGAAUUAUAUUGGGACCUUGUUAUGAAUGAAUGUAAUCAUUGUACAAUUAAAUUGCAA